GUGGAGACCACGCCAAAGUGCAAAUUUGGAAAGCGCACCUAAAGGAGGUGCCGGGGCUU
rnacentral:tRNA from 1 species